rnacentral:rRNA from 1 species
GGCUCAGGAUGAACGCUAGCUACAGGCUUAACACAUGCAAGUCGAGGGGCAGCAUGAAGUUGCUGCAAACUUGAUGGCGACCGGCGCACGGGUGAGUAACGCGUAUCCAACCUGGCCCGCAGUAGGGAACAGCCCGGCGAAAGUCGGAUUAAUGCCCUAUGUCUUCCUUUGCAGGCAUCCAAUGAGGAAGAAAGAUUUAUCGCUGCGGGAUGGGGAUGCGUCUGAUUAGCUUGUCGGCGGGGUAACGGCCCACCGAGGCUACGAUCAGUAGGGGUUCUGAGAGGAAGGUCCCCCACACUGGUACUGAGACACGGACCAGACUCCUACGGGAGGCAGCAGUGAGGAAUAUUGGUCAAUGGGCGAGAGCCUGAACCAGCCAAGUAGCGUGCAGGAACCGACUGCCCUAUGGGUUGUAAACUGCUUUUAUGCGGGGAUAAACUUCAGCACGUGUGCUGUUUUGCAGGUACCGCAUGAAUAAGGACCGGCUAAUUCCGUGCCAGCAGCCGC